GGAAUCUUAGACAAUGGGGGAAACCCUGAUCUAGCCAUGCCGCGUGAUCGAUGAAGGCCUUAGGGUUGUAAAGAUCUUUCAGUUGGGAAGAUAAUGACGGUACCAACAGAAGAAGCCCCGGCUAACUACGUGCCAGCAGCCGCGGUAAUACGGAGGGGGCUAGCGUUAUUCGGAAUUACUGGGCGUAAAGCGAACGUAGGCGGACUGGAAAGUCAGAGGUGAAAUCCCAGGGCUCAACCUUGGAACUGCCUUUGAAACUCCCAGUCUUGAGGUCGAGAGAGGUGAGUGGAAUUCCGAGUGUAGAGGUGAAAUUCGUAGAUAUUCGGAGGAACACCAGUGGCGAAGGCGGCUCACUGGCUCGAUACUGACGCUGAAGUGCGAAAGCGUGGGGAGCAAAC
rnacentral:rRNA from 1 species